UGAGCCUGCGCUAAAUUAGGUUGUUGGUGGGGUAAUGGCCUACCAAGCCUAUGAUUUAUAGCUGGUCUGAGAGGACGAUCAGCCACACUGGAACUGAGACACGGUCCAGACUCCUACGGGAGGCAGCAGUGAGGAAUAUUGGACAAUGGGCGCAAGCCUGAUCCAGCAAUGCCGCGUGAAUGAUGAAGGCCUUAGGGCUGUAAAAUUCUUUCGGUAGGGAAGACAAUGACGGUACCUACAGAAGAAGUUCCGGCUAACUCCGUGCCAGCAGCCGCGGUAAUACGGGGGGAGCUAGCGUUUUUCGGAUUUACUGGGCGUAAAGGGCGCGUAGGCGGCUAAUAAAGUUGAAAGUGAAAUCCUUGGGCUUAACCUGAGAACUGCUUUCAAAACUCAUUAGCUAGAGAACGAUAGAGGACAGUAGAAUUCCUAGUGUAGAGGUGAAAUUCUUAGAUAUUAGGAGGAAUACCGGUGGCGAAGGCGACUGUCUGGGUCGUUUCUGACGCUGAGGUGCGAAAGCGUGGGGAGCAAACAGGAUUAGAUACCCUGGUAGUCCACGCUGUAAACGAUGAGUGUUAGGUGUUGGGAUCUUUAGAUUUCAGUGCCGUAGCUAACGCGUUAAACACUCCGCCUGGGGAGUAAGGUCGCAAGAUUAAAACUCAAAGGAAUUGACGGGGAUCUGCACAAGUGGUGGAACAUGCGGUUUAAUCCGAUGCUACGCGCAAAACCUUACCAACCCUUGACAUGGUGGUCGCGAGACUCAGAAAUGAGUUUUUUCAGUUCGGCUGGACCACACACAGGUGUUGCAUGGCCGUCGUCAGCUCGUGUUGUGAGAUGUUAGGUUAAGUCCUGCAACGAGCGCAACCCUUAUCCUUAUUUGCCAGCGGGUAAGCCGGGAACUAUAAGGAAACUGCCAGCGAUAAGCUGGAGGAAGGUGGGGAUGAAGUCAGGUCUGCAUGGCCCUUAUGGGUUGGGCUACACGCGUGUUACAAUGAUAGUUACAAAGGGUAACCAAAGAGUGAUCUGGAGUUAAUCCCAAAAAAGCUAUCUCAGUGCGGAUUGCACUCUGCAACUCGGGUGCAUGAAGUUGGAAUCACUAGUAA
rnacentral:rRNA from 1 species